CAGCUUAAAUCAGAACAAAUGUUCAAAUAGCACCCAUAUUCUUAAGCCCGAGAACCACUCCAACUCCGAUGAUGUGACCGACAGUUCCACAGGCCAAGGUAUCCGCAAGAGUGAAACCAGCAGGGUCCCCUGUUUGUAGUCCAGAGUCCCUAGCUUCGAGCUUCAAACCUGCAGUAGCCUUCCUGUUUGCCGAUGGCGCUAAUCCAAAUCUUCCCGCGAAAAGCAUCAAGCUUGUAGAAGUCACCAUUAUCUGCCCAUAUGCACAUACAUCAUAUAGCUCAGUGUUUCUACUUAGAAACACUAUAACUCAGUGUUAUUUGUGAUUACAGUCUGUUCUCGAAGCCGAGUUUUGUGUUCCUUGCCAUUAGUGUUCGAAGUAAGAUAUAUUUUUGUGAGGGCAUAACGAGAAGAUGACUAACCAGGUUUGUUGACGAUCCAAUGAAAUCACAGCGAGCUCCC
rnacentral:lncRNA from 1 species